UUGGUAUGCUCGUUGUUCUAGGUUUGUCUCAGACUCCUGUGAGUUUUCUUAGUGGUGGCUCUGUUUGGAUAGCGUCGGUCUCCUCUGAGAGGGACGGCGAUGCUGGUUUUGUGCGGUUCGAGCUGUUGGGUUUUGUUCAUGAGUGAUGACGGCUAGGGUUUCCGCUGGCCAGAUCUUUGUUUCCGGGAGUGAUAUCAGGCGUAUCUCACUAAUCUAUGACAUCUAACUCAGGUUUGUAGUGGUCUUCACUCACUGCUUCUCGGAUUGAAGGGUCUUGGCUCGGGUUUUUUGACGAAGUUUAAAGAGAUAUUUUGACGGCGCUGGUUGAUGGCAUUGUAAGGGUUGUCGUUUUCAGAUUUCAAUCGGGUCUUUAUCAUUUUGCUAUAUUCGGUCAGUUCCUUGGAGGUGUUGAUGAGUUAGGCCACUGCAUGCAUCUCUCUAUUUAGAUCUACCAGUUGGUGUGGUAUUAGUCAUUGGUUUAAGGCUCUGGUAGGGAGUAGAGAGAAUGGGUCUCAGUCUUAUCAACUUUGAUCAUCAUUCCUCAUUGGCAGCGUGUUUAGGUCUCAUGUCAUUGGAGUUUUUGCGGUAGGUAUUUAUUGACCUAUUUGGGCUUUAUGAGAUGCUGGAUGGAAGCAUCUCCUCUUUGUGAAUUCUCAUUGGUGUGGUGAGCGUAGUCAUCAUCCUCUGAAGAAAUAAGAGCUUUAGUAACUGGCCAAGACAGAGGAGAUCUCUAGGUAGUAGGUAUGGUUGGUGGGGAAAAAAAUUGAACAAUUGUCUUGAUCUGAAUCAUGUGGUGGAUUUCCUCGGGGGAUUAUGCUCAGACCGGUCUGACUUCUCAUUUUGGAUUUAUGGUUAAAUGGGUGUAACGGUCCCAGUUAGAUAAGUGAGAGGUGGCAAUAUUUUUUU
rnacentral:lncRNA from 1 species